CAAUAGCGUAUAUUAAAGUUGUUGCGGUAAAAAAGCUCGUAGUUGGAUUUCUACCGAAGAUAGCCGGUCGAGUCUUCGACCUUGUAUCUGGUUUUGUCUUUGGUAUCCUCAUAGGGAACGUUUCUGCGCUUUAUUGCGUGGUGCGGUAUCUAUGACUUUUACUUUGAGGAAAUUAGAGUGUUCACGGCAGGCAAACGCCUUGAAUAUAUUAGCAUGGAAUAAUAACAUAGGAUCUUCGUCCUAUUUUGUUGGUUUCUAGGGCUAAGAUAAUGAUUAAUAGGGAUAAUUGGGGGCAUCUGUAUCAACGCGUCAGAGGUGGAAUUCUUGGAUUGCGUUGCGACAAACUACUGCGAAAGCAUUUGCCAAGGAUGUUUUCAUUGA
rnacentral:rRNA from 1 species